UGGGGAAUCUUGGACAAUGGGCGCAAGCCUGAUCCAGCCAUGCCGCGUGUGUGAAGAAGGUCUUCGGAUUGUAAAGCACUUUAAGUUGGGAGGAAGGGCAGUUACCUAAUACGUAUCUGUUUUGACGUUACCGACAGAAUAAGCACCGGCUAACUCUGUGCCAGCAGCCGCGGUAAUACAGAGGGUGCAAGCGUUAAUCGGAAUUACUGGGCGUAAAGCGCGCGUAGGUGGUUUGUUAAGUUGGAUGUGAAAUCCCCGGGCUCAACCUGGGAACUGCAUUCAAAACUGACAAGCUAGAGUAUGGUAGAGGGUGGUGGAAUUUCCUGUGUAGCGGUGAAAUGCGUAGAUAUAGGAAGGAACACCAGUGGCGAAGGCGACCACCUGGACUGAUACUGACACUGAGGUGCGAAAGCGUGGGGAGCAAACAGGAUUAGAUACCCGGGUAGUCCCUGAGCGGGCUGGCAAGGCGCAU
rnacentral:rRNA from 1 species